AGGGGGAUGUGGACAUUUUUGUGAAGGUGCAAUGUGAGUUGGACUGGAAGAAUGUCUAUUACAGAUCCUAAUUGAAGUAGCGAUUAUCCAGGCUUGUAUCCUGGGGGCUGAUGAGGAGUAGGGUUUCUGGACAACUUAAACAGAUCCAGAGUUAGUCGAUCCUAAUCUCAAUAAUGGGAGAAAGGGAGUACAGUUGAUAUUCUGUAACUGACAACAGUUCGCGGCAACGCAUACUAUUUUUCUCCGCCAAUCUUAUACCGUUGGUAGGGAUCUCUUUCCUACAUGACAGUACUAAUACCCAGGGAAACUGGUCAUCAGGCGAACUGCGGCGUUCUGCUGGCAAAACAUAGCUUCGGUUAUGUCAAUGGCUAUUGGAUUGGUCCAUGAAGCGAAAAAUAGUUUACUGUGUCACUCGUACCGAUAACCGCAUCAGGUCUUCUAGGUAAGUAGCCUAUGGCCAUUGAGGCAUGAUAGUUCAGGGAAUUCGGCCAAUUAGAGCUGUAACUUCGGGAUAAAGCUUGGCUCUGAUGAAAAUCAGAACCGAUUGUUACGCGGAGAGCCCAACUGUUUAAUAAAAACGUAGUGUCGCGCUGUGGUAGUAUAGCCAGUGAACGCGACAUGAAUCCUGCUCAGUGCUGUGUCUGUUAAUAUGGUUCAAGCCAACGAAGCACCGGUAAAUAGCUGGGGUAACUAUGACUCUUAUCAAAGUAGCGAAAUACCUCGUCACUUAAUUAGUGACCUGCAUGAACGGAGCUAUGAGGUUCUCACUGUCCCAAACUGUCUCUCAGCGAAACAACUGUAGUGGGAACGGUCACUAGAUAUCCAGCGGGGAAA
rnacentral:ncRNA from 1 species